CGUGUAAACGCGAUAACUAGGACACAUUUGGUUGGAUUUCUUAUCCCUUAAUAACCAACAUAGAGGACCCCUAGUGGAAGAACCCUAUCGAUUUCAGCUUCUCUAUAGCUAUUAUAAGUCAUCCAAAUGAG